GAGAAAGAAACAUAUAGGGAAAUGUGGCUGGCUUGAAACUGGUUUAAGGUGGUUCGAUUCCCCCCUUUCUUA
rnacentral:tRNA from 1 species